rnacentral:rRNA from 1 species
UACGAAGGGGGCUAGCGUUGCUCGGAACCACUGGGCGUAAAGCGCACGUAGGCGGGUUCUUAAGUCAGGGGUGAAAUCCUGGAGCUCAACUCCAGAACUGCCUUUGAUACUGGGAAUCUCGAGUCCGGGAGAGGUGAGUGGAACUGCGAGUGUAGAGGUGAAAUUCGUAGAUAUUCGCAAGAACACCAGUGGCGAAGGCGGCUCACUGGUCCGGUACUGACGCUGAGGUGCGAAAGCGUGGGGAGCAAACAGG